UGAACCGUUCAUUUGGAUUUACUACUUGAAUGUUGGUAUUUUCAAUGGAUUGAGUUGCAAAGUGUUCGACCCCGAGUAUUUUGACCUUCCAGAACCCUUACACGAACCACUUAGAAACCGUGAUUUGAAGCCAUCUACAAUUUUUGGGCCGACUUGUGAUUCUAAUGACGUCAUCAUGGCUAACUGUAUGUUGCCUGAGAUGGACACUGGAGAGUUUGUCUUGUUCCAUGAUAUGGGAGGCUAUACCGCUACGUGUGCAUGCGAUUUUAACGGUUUCAGCUUGCCGUCAACGUGGUACAUUGCACCCAAAGAGAUCCGACUCGUUCUGGAGAAGAAUUUUCCAGCACAUUAGACUUUUUGGUUUCGGCUUAAGCCAGAAGUCAGUUCCCGAGUGAAAGUCUGACGUUACAAUAGGGUGUGCAACCAUUUUCCAGCUUUUCGUCAUGGUGGAUGUUCAUGGUCGGGGCAGUAUAUUGUUGAUGUACCCCAACAUGGCGCGGCCCCUAU